UGGAAGAAAUGAAUGUGCUGAGGUGGAAUGGUGCCCAAGCUCCAUGACUCACCUGAUUGGCAGAUCUGGGAAGCCUGGGUGGUGGUGUUUGCUGCAGCAGCCUCACCCACAGAGUCUCACCAAGAAGAAUGUUGCAGCAUGGGCUGAGUCAGCCAGAAGAAACAGAUGCUGGCCAUCUGAAUGAGGCUGGUCCUGAUGAUAAAUACAGGCCCAUGAGUACACUUCCCUCCAUCCUCCUGGCUAUGGAGAGAGCAGACCUUGUCAGAGGAAGUGAGAUCCAGCCUCCUGCUGUGGACUACAGCCUCAAGCCUGGUCACUAAGCAAAGUCAGUCCCCCUGGAUCCAUGUGGCAGCGUCAUUGGCCAGCUAUCCUCCCAGUUUCCCAGAGCCAUGACAGAAUGGCCAACUCUUAAUUUUGGGUGGCCUCCAGAAGGCACCUUCGACCUGAUCAUCAUCAAGGACACUGAAGACAUCAUUGUCAAGCCUCGCACAGGUCACCCAAACCAAGUGCCUUACAUUGUGGUUUGGCGGAACCUCAUUGAAAACGCUCCUCCCUGGCUUAAACCUUUCUUACCUCAACAGGUUCUCUUCACCACAGAAGAAAGGGACCGCAUCCAAAUGGAGGCCCGGAAGCUAGUCCCAGGACUUACUGGAGAGCCAAGUACCAAUCAGACUCUCAUCAAUGCAGAUUCCCCCUUGACCCACCCCAACUGGGAUUAUAAUAUGGUGGAAGGUAAGGAGAGCUUCCU